rnacentral:rRNA from 1 species
CUGCUGCCUUCCGUAGGAGUUUGGGCCGUGUCUCAGUCCCAAUGUGGCCGUUCACCCUCUCAGGCCGGCUAC